rnacentral:rRNA from 1 species
CCAAUAGCGUAUAUUAAAGUUGUUGCAGUUAAAAAGCUCGUAGUUGAAUUUCGGGGUCAGUAGGUCGGUCGUGCCACUGGUAUGAACUGGUUUUACUGAUUCCUCCCUCUUGAAGAACUGUAAUGCCAUUAAUUUGGUGUUGCAGGGAAUCAGGACUGUUACUUUGAAAAAAUUAGAGUGUUUAAAGCAGGCUUUAGCUUGAAUACAUUAGCAUGGAAUAAUGAAAUAGGACGUUUGAUCCUAUUUUGUUGGUUUCUAGGAUUGACGUAAUGAUUAAUAGGGAUAGUUGGGGGCAUUAGUAUUCAAUUGUCAGAGGUGAAAUUCUUGGAUUUAUUGAAGACUAACUACUGCGAAAGCAUUUGCCAAGGAUGUUUUCAUUAAUCAAGAACGAAAGUUAGGGGAUCGAAGACGAUCAGAUACCGUCGUAGUCUUAACCAUAAACUAUGCCGACUAGGGAUCGGAUGAUGUUAAUUUUUUAAUGACUCAUUCGGCGCCUCACG